rnacentral:rRNA from 1 species
UAUCUCUGUAGAGUCUGCAUAUCAAUAAGCGGAGGAAAAGAAACUAACUAGGAUCCCCUCAGUAACGGCGAGUGAAGCGGGAAGAGCUCAAAUUUGAAAUCUUCAAGGUUUUACCUUGACGAAUUGUAGUUUAAAGAAGUGUUUUCUGUUGGUAGUUUUGGUAAAAGUUCUUUGGAAUAGGACAUCAUAGAGGGUGAGAAUCCCGUAUUUGACCAUUACUUCCAGCUUUGUGAUUACACUUUCAAAGAGUCGGAUUGUUUGGGAAUGCAGUCCAAAAUGGGUGGUAAAUUUCAUCUAAAGCUAAAUAUUGGCGAGAGACCGAUAGCGAACAAGUACCGUGAGGGAAAGAUGAAAAGAACUUUGAAAAGAGAGUUAAACAGUACGUGAAAUUGUCAAAAGGGAAGCGUUUGACACCAGUGUUGUUUUCUCGAAAAUCAAUUAAAAAAAGUUGGAUUUUGUAUUGUUAAGACCUUAUCAGCUUACUGUACUCUUUUCUUGCUUUUUUUAAUGCACUUUUCGUUUAACAAGUCAACAUCAAUUUCUUUUGUUGUAAAAGAGUCAUUGGAAGGUGGCUUUCACUUCGGUGAAAGUGUUUAUAGCCUUUGGCUUCUGCAAUCGGAGAGAUUGAGGUCAGCAGCGUAGAUCCUUCGGGGCUAGAUACGUAGAUGCUAAGUUAUAGUUUUUUAUAGACAACUUGUUGACUAUAAUUAAUCAUGUAGCUUACUCGUUUGCGCUAUUUUACCUACGCUUAGGAUGUUGACGAUCAGCUGAGCGCG